UACGGAGGGUGCAAGCGUUAGUCGGAAUUACUGGGCGUAAAGGGUGCGUAGGCGGGCAUUUAAGUCAUUCGUGAAAUUCCGGGGCUCAACCCCGGAGCUGCGACUGAAACUGGAUGCCUAGAGGGAUGGCGGAGAAAACAGAAUUCCACGUGUAGCGGUGAAAUGCGUAGAUAUGUGGAAGAAUACCUGUGGCGUAGGCGGUUUCCUAGCCUCCCCCAGACGCUGAGGCACGAAAGCAAGGGGAG
rnacentral:rRNA from 1 species